CCUACGGGAGGCUGCAGUGGGGAAUAUUGGACAAUGGGGGGAACCCUGAUCCAGCGACGCCGCGUGAGUGAAGAAGUAUUUCGGUAUGUAAAGCUCUAUCAGCAGGGACGAAAGAAAUGACGGUACAUGACUAAGAAGCCCAGGCUAACUACGUGCAAGCAGCCGCGGUAAUACGUAGGGGGCACGCGUUAUGCGGAUUUACUGGGUGUAAAGGGAGCGUAGGCAGUGAUGCAAGUCUGAAGGGAAAGGCGGGGGCCUAAACCCCGGACGGGUUUUGAAACUGUAUGGCUGGAGUGCAGGAGAGGGAAGUGGAAUUCCUAGUGUAGCGGUGAAAUGCGUAGAUAUUAGGAGGAACACCAGUGGCGAAGGCGGCUUACGGGACUGUAACUGACGUUGAGGCUCGAAAGCGUGGGGAGCAAACAGGAUUAGAUACCCGUGUAGUC
rnacentral:rRNA from 1 species